GACGAACGCUGGCGGCGUGCUUAACACAUGCAAGUCGAACGGUGAAGCGCCUUCCUUUUUGGUGGGUGUGGAUGAGUGGCGAACGGGUGAGUAACACGUGAGUAACCUGCCCCCUUCUGCUGGAUAACCGCAUGAAAGUGUGGCUAAUACGGGAUAUUCUGGGUCUGUCGCAUGAUGGGUCUGGGAAAGAUAUUGUUUCGGUGGGGGAUGGGCUCGCGGCCUAUCAGCUUGUUGGUGGGGUGAUGGCCUACCAAGGCGGGGACGGGUAGCCGGCCUGAGAGGGUGGACGGUCACACUGGGACUGAGACACGGCCCAGACUCCUACGGGAGGCAGCAGUGGGGAAUAGUGCACAAUGGGCGCAAGCCUGAUGCAGCGACGCCGCGUGAGGGAUGGAGGCCUUCGGGUUGUGAACCUCUUUCGCCAGUGACGCAGGCCUGCCUCGUUUGUGGGUGGGUUGACGGUAGCUGGAUAAGAAGCGCCGGCUAACUACGUG
rnacentral:rRNA from 1 species